GGCUGACCUCUCUUCUCCGCCCUUCAGGAAGAGAAGACAUUAAAGCAUGUGAGAGAGGGGAGGGCCCUGGGGACGGGGAGCCGGCAGAGCCGCCAGCCUCGCUGAGUGCAGUGACAGAAAGCAGCCACUCCCGCCUUCAGUGUGGAGCCCAGGCCGCACCCAGCCUGGAGUCCGGGGCCUCGGGCAAGCUGCCUCCCUUCCAGGCCGGCGUGGGCCACUCCAGGACCCCGGGACUCCCUGCCCUCACUUUCACAGAGGCAGCUGGGUGUUCUGGGUGCACAGCUCCUGUCAGCAGAGCAGGCUCGGGAGCCCACUCGGCUUCAGGCAACCGUCAGCAAAAAACAGUAACAGCACGAUCCCUCCUGCUCACAGGCACCUUCCAUGCCAACAAGUCCUGCAGGAAAAGCCCAGAUGACUCCAGGAUGGGCCCCUGACUUCGAGGCAGGCCAGCCCCCUCGUUUCUUCACUUUUUUGACCCAUGAGGAAACAGAAGCAUUCAUUAGCCAGAAGCAUGUGGACGUCCAUGCAGCCGGCAGCACCAUGGCCUGGGCCAGCAGGGGCCGAGAACAGGACAUCUGAUUCUUUCCUCACCUUCCCUCAAGGACAAGGUCAGCCAACAGAGCAUGGGGGCGAGGAUGUGAUGGAAGAAUGCAUUUAUAACCAAGGAGAGCCAGACUGCCCUCACCGGCUAAGAUUAGGCAAUAAAGGAGUGCUGAGGUUUGCAUAGAAUCAGGGCUGCCUCCCUGGAAGAAGAGGACUGUGAACCAGGUUGAGAAGGCCCCAGGACUGAAGCAUGUACCUAACUUCUGGUGUUAAAAUGUCUGCACAGUUCUACCCGCCUGCUUGCUGGGCAGGGCAGCCACCUGCCAGCCGCUCCUGUGACCUCCGAGAAUGGCUGAAACCUUUGAGGUGUCUGUCCAACACCAGCCGGGAAGUAUUACAGCUGGGGCGUGUGUUUGGGGCUAUUUCUGAGUGUCGCGGGAGAGAAGAUGAAACGGCUGGUAUUUCCUGAUCACUCUCACUGGCUCAUUGUGACCUUCGUGUAGCUUCAAGCAGUUCUGAGACUCCAGGAGCUGGGGUUGUAUCAGACACUGCCAGUGAGUGGGGCAGACACGUUGAAGCAAGCUGGGCGUGGCAGAAAAUCAGGUGUGCCCGAGGCCUGAGCACCCCCUCCCUUUUGGUCCUCACAGCAGUAGGAUUCCCCCGUAGACAUCUGGGUCCUGAUUGCGUGGCUCUGGAGAGGGAGGAGAGGUUGUCCACAGCACCACCCCCUCUGCAGACACACACACACACACACACACACACGCACGCACACACCCACGCACACGCGCGGGCGCACACGCAAACACACACAUGCACACACACACACACACAUAUCUGAACAGGCCAGGCUGGGUCAAUGCAGUGUCUCGCUGUGAAACGAGGGGAGAGCAGACGCCCUGUCUGAGAGCCACAUGAGCCAGCAGCCUGCGUAGGAGCAGCAAACCAUGUCCGAGACUCUGGGUGGGCCUCGUUUAUGUCUGGAAAGAAAAGGGAUUCUGAGGAGGGCUGGGGCAGGCAGCCGGCUGCAGGGCAGGGAGCUCACCCCCAUUCACCGCAGCCCGCAGCCCACCAUAUGGGCCAGGAGGCUCAGCAGGCCAGCCCUGGCUGCCAGGGUUCCCCGGGGACAGCUUUGGAGCGCCUGGCUCAGCGGCGCCUUUCUCUUGGAUGUUUAACCUCCCAAAGCUGUUGGUGGUUGAUCAGGCAAGCAGAGGGUGCUUCGACUCUGGCCGACUUGAAGAGCCCUCUUGCCUCUCCUGCAUGGGAUUUUCCUGCCCGUGGGUCUGUUGAUGAAGGGGGGUAUCCCUGGGUCACCACCAGCUAAAAGGCAUUUCUUUAAAAUAAAAAAAAAAAAGCCAGAUAUAGACAGCACUGCCUGCAGGAGCCAGGUGAAGAGCAGGAUAGAAACAGUUGCCCAGAUUCUCCAAGCCCAGGGAUGACUCCCACCUUCACUGUCUGACCUCGGGCCUCAGGGCCCGGAUAAUUGUCUCAUCGGGCCUCCACCCUAGACUGUCUGAAUACUUCUGCAGCCCAGCCCUCACCACAGAGGCCAUUGUCAUUUUUUAAAAAUAGUAAUAAUGGAUAAACAUUACAUUUAAAUUGUGAUACAUCUAGACAAUGGAAUAUUACUCAGAGAGAAAGAGAAAUGGGCUAUCAAGCUACAUAAAGACAUGGAAGGAAAUGUAAACACAUAUUGCUAGGUGAAAGAAGCCAGUUCCAAAGGCUGCAGCCUGUAUGAUUCUGACUAUGUGACAUUCUGGAAAUGGUAAAACCGUGGGCCGGGCGCAGCGGCUCACACCUGUAAUCCCAGCACUUUGGGAGGCUGAGGCAGGCGGAUUAUUUGAGGUCAGGAGUUCAAGACCAGCCUGACCAACAUGACGAAACGCCAUCUCUACUGAAAAAAUGUAUAUACAAAAAUUAGCUGGGCGUAGCAACAUGGGCCUGUGGUCCCAGCUACUCAGGAGACUGAGGCAGAAUUGCUUGAACCCCGGAGGCAGAGGUUGCAGUGAGCUGAGAUCGUGCCACUGUACACCAGCCUGGGCAACAGAGCGAGACUCCCUCUCAUGAAGACAGUAAACAGAUCAGUGGCCACCGGGGUUUGGAGGGGAACGGAGGACGACUGUGUGGAGCGCAGGGGGUUUUGGUUAGUGAAAUGAUUCUAUAACUUACUGGAACGGUGGAUACAGGGCAUUGUGCGUUUGCUGAAACCCACAGAGUAUACAACACAAAGCGUGAACUCUAAUGUUGACUGUGGACCCUAGUUAAUGACAAUGUAUCGGCAUUGGUUCAAUUGGAACAAAUGUGCCACACUAAUGCAAGACCUCAGCAACAGGGAAAGUGUGUAUGUUGGCAGUGGGGAGGGUAAUACAGGAACACUGUAUUUUCCACUCAAUUUUUCUGUAGACCUAAAACUUCUCUAAAAAGUAGUCAAUUAACUCUAGUCUGG
rnacentral:lncRNA from 10 species